rnacentral:rRNA from 1 species
UACGGGGGGGGCAAGCGUUGUUCGGAAUUACUGGGCGUAAAGGGCUCGUAGGUGGCCAACUAAGUCAGACGUGAAAUCCCUCAGCUUAACUGGGGAACUGCGUCUGAUACUGGAUGGCUUGAGUUCGGGAGAGGGAUGCGGAAUUCCAGGUGUAGCGGUGAAAUGCGUAGAUAUCUGGAGGAACACCGGUGGCGAAGGCGGCAUCCUGGACCGACACUGACACUGAGGAGCGAAAGCCAGGGAAGCAAACGGG